AAUAAGUGCAGCUGUGGGUAUCCGUGUCCAACGUUUGAUUGUCCGUCUUAUUUGAAAAAUUUAUAAAAGAUUAAAAAAAAUAGUCACACAUAAAGUGUUAUUCAUAUUUUAUCAUUUAAUAACAAUAAAAAAUAUUAAUCAUAAAAAUAUUCAAAUAAGAUGAACGAUCGAACGUUGGACAUAAAUAGUGCAAAACCGCAUUUAUU
rnacentral:pre_miRNA from 1 species